rnacentral:tRNA from 1 species
GAAUUAGGCUCCCCCUCAAGCUUCUAACUUGAGAACAACAAUUAAAUUUGUUAUAAUUCU